UCGUCAGCUCGUGUCGUGAGAUGUUGGGUUAAGUCCCGUAACGAGCGCAACCCUUAUCCUUAUUUGCCAGCGGAUCAUGCCGGGAACUCUAAGGAGACUGCCGGUGACAAACCGGAGGAAGGCGGGGACGAGGUCAAGUCAUCAUGGCCCUUACGGGGUGGGCUACAAACGUGCUACAAUGGGGGGCACAAAGGGCAGCAAACCUGCGAAGGUGAGCGAAUCCCAAAAAACCUCUCGUAGUCCGGAUAGGAGUCUGCAACUCGACUCCUUGAAGUCGGAAUCGCUAGUAAUCGCGAAUCAGAAUGUCGCGGUGAAUACGUUCCCGGGCCUUGUACACACCGCCCGUCACGUCAUGGGAGUGGGUUGCACCAGAAGUAGCUAGUCUAACCUUCGGGAGGACGGUUACCACGGUGUGAUUCAUGACUGGGACUAAGUCGUAACAAGGUAGCCGUAGGGGAACCUGCGGCUGGAUCACCUCCUUAACC
rnacentral:rRNA from 1 species